rnacentral:rRNA from 1 species
AGCGAACGCUGGCGGCAGGCCUAACACAUGCAAGUCGAACGAAGCCUUCGGGCUUAGUGGCGGACGGGUGAGUAACGCGUGGGAACGUGCCCUUUGGUUCGGAAUAGCCCCGGGAAACUGGGAGUAAUACCGGAUAAGCCCUACGGGGGAAAGACUUAUCGCCAAAGGAUCGGCCCGCGUUGGAUUAGGUAGUUGGUGGGGUAAUGGCCUACCAAGCCGACGAUCCAUAGCUGGUUUGAGAGGAUGAUCAGCCACACUGGGACUGAGACACGGCCCAGACUCCUACGGGAGGCAGCAGUGGGGAAUCUUAGACAAUGGGGGAAACCCUGAUCUAGCCAUGCCGCGUGAUCGAUGAAGGCCUUAGGGUUGUAAAGAUCUUUCAGCUGGGAAGAUAAUGACUAUACCAGCAGAAGAAGCCCCGGCUAACUCCGUGCCAGCAGCCGCGGUAAUACGGAGGGGGCUAGCGUUGUUCGGAAUUACUGGGCGUAAAGCGCACGUAGGCGGAACAGAAAGUCAGAGGUGAAAUCCCAGGGCUCAACCUUGGAACUGCCUUUGAAACUCCUGUUCUUGAGGUCGAGAGAGGUGAGUGGAAUUCCGAGUGUAGAGGUGAAAUUCGU